AUAACAAAGGCUUACCCCCGGGUUAAAUUGGCAGGAAUGAAGAGAAAACAAUGGAUACAAGAAAAAUCCUCAGGCAGAGGAAGAAGACCUAUGAGGGCUCAUUGGGUGCAGAAGAAGCUAAGGACCAUGACCAUCGCACCCAAGCUGAUAAGCUUCUAGAUAGAACGUUAAAAGGCUGCAGUCCCGCUUUUCAGUGUUCUCAGAGUCCAGAGAUUGAGUUCAAUUGAUGAUACCUUUGAGUCUGCUGAUCUCCUACAAUAAUAAUGUAGAGGUAACGAGGUUGAGACAAGGAGAGGUUUGCUGAUCGCUGGAGGUCAGAUGAACAGCUCCUGAAGAGUGGAGUCUGCACCUG